rnacentral:rRNA from 1 species
CCUACGGGAGGCAGCAGUGGGGAAUAUUGCACAAUGGGGGAAACCCUGAUGCAGCGACGCCGCGUGAAGGAAGAAGUAUUUCGGUAUGUAAACUUCUAUCAGCAGGGAAGAAAAUGACGGUACCUGACUAAGAAGCCCCGGCUAAAUACGUGCCAGAAGCCGCGGAAAUAGGUAGGGGGCAAGCGUUAUCCGGAUUUACCGGGUGUAAAGGGAGCGUAGGCGGUUUAGCAAGUCAGAAGUGAAAGCCCGGGGUCAAAGUCCGGGACUGCUUUUGAAACUGUUGAACUAGAUUGCGGGUGAGGUAAGUGGAAUUCGUGGUGUAGCGGUGAAAUGCGUAGAUAUUAGGAGGAACACCAGUGGCGAAGGCGGCUUACUGGACUGUAAAUGACGCUGAGGCUCGAAAGCGUGGGGAGCAAACAGGAUUAGAUACCCGAGUAGUC